UGGGGAAUAUUGCGCAAUGGGCGGAAGCCUGACGCAGCAACGCCGCGUGCGGGAUGACGGCCUUCGGGUUGUAAACCGCUUUCAGCAGGGACGAAGCGUUUGUGACGGUACCUGCAGAAGAAGCACCGGCCAACUACGUGCCAGCAGCCGCGGUGAUACGUAGGGUGCGAGCGUUGUCCGGAAUUAUUGGGCGUAAAGAGCUUGUAGGCGGUUUGUCGCGUCGGAAGUGAAAACUCAGGGCUUAACUCUGAGCCUGCUUCCGAUACGGGCUGACUAGAGGAAGUUAGGGGAGAACGGAAUUCCUGGUGGAGCGGUGGAAUGCGCAGAUAUCAGGAGGAACACCGGUGGCGAAGGCGGUUCUCUGGGACUUUCCUGACGCUGAGAAGCGAAAGCGUGGGGAGCAAACAGG
rnacentral:rRNA from 1 species